CUGGGGGCUGCCUGUGCCCGGGGACCCACCUGGGGGUGGGGGGCAGAGCAGAGGUCCCCCCAGCCCUGAGGUCCAUCCAGGGCCCGAAUGUCCGUCCGUGCGUCUGUCGGAAUGGCUGACGGUCCGUCCGGGUGCCCACAGGGCGCGUUGGUGGGUCCGGCUGUCCGUGGGGGUGUCCACGUGUCGCUUUGUGGCUCCGUCCGUCCAUCCGUCCGUGGGUCCGUCUGUGCAUCCCCGGCUCCAUCCAAGGGGUUCCGGGUGCCGGGGGUCCAUCCGGGCGGGGGGUGGGGGCUCAUUUGCCCCCCGCCAUGAUGCGGAGGUAUUGGAGGGCGUUGCGGGCAGCGUGGGAGCGGGCGCCGUCGCGGGAGGGGGCAGCGCCGUGGCAGACGGUGGCCGGCUGCGUGGACAGCUCUACCAGGCAUUGGUGCAGCCCGCUGAGACUCAGUGCAUCGAUGUCGAGGUAACUGAUGGCGAAGCUCUGCUCCUCGGACAGCUCCUGCAGCAGCGCGCAGGCGCCCGCGCCCAUGGCUGCCAACGGGUGGCUCCGCAGCUGCACGAUCUUCUCGCCCGCGGAGUUGCGCAGGGAAUCCCACGUGCAGCCCGGAGUGCGGCCCCGCAGCCCCUCCAGCCGAGGACCCGCCAUGCAGAACUGAUCCUCCUCCACCUCAGCCUCGCUGCCCUCACGCGGCUCCAUGGGGACGUUGUGGAUGCGCACCAACAUCUUGGCGGCCGCGUUGCGCUUCGCCAGCUUCUUUGAGGUGCCGCUGCCGAUCUCCACGAAGCGCUCCACGCGGCACGUCAUGGUGAACUCCUUGCGGUGCGCCGGCCCCGACUCCUGGGUCACCGUGUAUUCGGGCAGGCGCCAACCCUUCUGCACCACCAGCUCCUGCAGAGCCCCCACGGGGUUACACUCCGACUGUGGGGGGGGCACGGGCGCCUUCACCUCCAGGGGGGUACCCCUGGGGGAAGGUGGGGGCACAGCGGGGGCCGGGGGGGCAGCUGUGGGGCCGGGCUCUGCCAGGGGCUCUGGGGGGAAAGGAGAGCUGGGCUCCUCGGGGGCGCCGGGCUCCAGCAUGUCCCCCCCCUUCAGCAGCUUCAGGGCCACCUCCGCUGCUUUGUGCUUCGCCGCCUUCUUGCUGGGUCCCUGCCCGGUGCAGCUGACGUCGCCGACGGUGACACGGAAGGUGAAGUUGGGCUGGUGUGCCUGGCCCUCUGCCUUCAGCAGGUCGUAGCCCGGGGUGCGCCCUAUGCGUGUGCCAUACUCCUGCAGGAGGCUGAUGGGGGUCUUCCCGGGGCUGGAGGCCAGCAUCUGCUCCAGGCUGCGGACAGGGCUGGGGAAGCCGCCGCUCCGCCUGGCCCCGCCGCCCGCCCCCUCCUCGCUCAUCCCCG
rnacentral:lncRNA from 1 species